CCUACGGGUGGCAGCAGUGGGGAAUAUUGCACAAUGGGGGAAACCCUGAUGCAGCGACGCCGCGUGGGUGAAGGAGUAUUUCGGUAUGUAAAGCCCUAUCAGCAGGGAAGAUAAUGACGGUACCUGACUAAGAAGCCCCGGCUAACUACGUGCCAGCAGCCGCGGUAAUACGUAGGGGGCAAGCGUUAUCCGGAUUUACUGGGUGUAAAGGGAGCGUAGACGGCAGCGCAAGCCUGGAGUGAAAGGAUGGGGCCCAACCCCAUGACUGCUCUGGGAACUGUGCGGCUAGAGUGCCGGAGGGGUAAGCGGAAUUCCUAGUGUAGCGGUGAAAUGCGUAGAUAUUAGGAGGAACACCAGUGGCGAAGGCGGCUUACUGGACGGUAACUGACGUUGAGGCUCGAAAGCGUGGGGAGCAAACAGGAUUAGAUACCCCUGUAGUC
rnacentral:rRNA from 1 species